GGGAGCAGUGGAGUGAUGGUCCCUGAGGGAGAGGAGCACCUGAGGAAGAGCAGAGCCUCAGUGGGGAGAUGCUGCACAUUCCAAGGGAACCUGUGGCAGAAGGUGCACCCAGGAACACAGAAAACGCCGGUGGCUGUUUCUUGCUCCGUGGAAGGAAGCUAAAGGAGUUAAUUGAAUUAAAUCCUGAAUCUGGGUAGCCAGGAGUAAGGCAGACUGAAAACUGAAGCCUGAACUCUAUUUGAGCUUGAAGAGAGACACUAAGAACGUCUUGGAGAGCAAAUCUACUGCUUGGAGACCAGUAGGGCUGGUAAAAGAUUUUUGCUAUGGAAGGAGACCAUUUCUUGAUCCUGAACCAGAAAGUUCCUUGGAAAAGGAUGGACCCUCCUUUGAGAAAACAGGAUAACUCUGAGAGAAUCUGAAUGAUUUAGGUUGGCAAUAACCUUUAAGAUCAUCCAGUCCAACCUUUACCACUACCAAGGCCACCACAUUCAGGUACAUUGACUUUCUUCA